rnacentral:tRNA from 1 species
GGGCCCUUAGCUUAGUCUGGUUAAAAGCACCCGGCUCAUAACCGGGCGAGCGCUGGUUCAAAUCCGGCAGGGCCCA